rnacentral:lncRNA from 1 species
AUGCUCAGGGACGAAGCUUCCUCUUGCCUGCCGGGAGCCCCAGCCAGUGGGCAGGGCCUUCCUGGCACCUCUCAUGUCCUGCCUGGCCUGUGCUUAGUGCCUGGGAGUGUUGGCGACCCCGACGUCCCCUCCAGUGGUGGCUUCAGUGGCCCCGGUGGGCUGGGUCCUGGUGCAGCAUGGCGGGGGGCAGCGCCUGUCCCAUCCCUCCCCACUGGGACUCCUUGUCUGGAAUCUGCCCCUUUGGAGAUGGGCCUGUGGUGUGACGGCCCCAAGUGUCCCCAAAGCAUGCAUCCCCCGACAUACACAGCAUCUUCCCGAGCCUCAGUGCAGGGCAGGAUGGAAGCUGCACCUCCACCGCCACAAACCAGGGUCUGCACAAGAUGCCCAGGGCCCAGCUCGGGGGCACCGCCAGGAUCCAAGCCCUCAGGCAGCCCCUGUCCCGCUGGCUCCUCAAGCUGCCCUUUGGGGGCUGUUAACCCCGCUGCAGAAGAAGAGCCCAAGUCUGUGUCCUCCAAGGGCCGUGACGCUCACUUAGGCUUCUGGGAUACUCUCAAGAGCUGGCUCUGGCUGGGAGGGCCAGGGCCUCCAUUAGCUGCCCCCAGGCUCCCAGGCAGAGGGGCAGUGAGACUCUCAGCGUGGCUCAAGGGGCUCCAGAGCCCAGGCCCAGGUGGACUGUGGCUGAAUGCUGCUCCCCGGGAGCACCCAAGACACCAUCUGGUAGGCAGUGGUGAGGGUCUACCCAGGACCUCAUCAGUGAGCUCCCAACUCUGCCCACUUCCCCCACUGGGCGGUACUGACGGGCUGGGUCAUCCCCCCUGGGAGCGGCCUGCCCAGCAGUACAGCCUCCUCUGCCCACGUGGCCAGCCGGGCUCUUCCCUGCCCAAGGCCACAGGCGAUGGAGGCUGCAGUGACUCACUGCCAGAGGCUCUACUCCCUGGGCGAACAGGAAGCCCGAGUCCUGCCCGCCCACCUGCUCGCUCACAGCCUGCCAGGGGUUGGCAGCAGCACCCGCUCCCCUCACAGAGCCUGCCCCGGGGUGGAAACAGGGAGGGCGUGAGGGGUGCCGGUCUGUGCUGA